ACAAGACAUGCAGUCAGCAGGCAAUAUGGACUUGUGGGUGACCCUCUACUGCAUGGCAUUCUGGAUGACAUGUGUCAGCUGUCAGAAGGUCCUCACACAGCCUGCAGUGAUGUCGGUGAUCUGAGAGGAACUGUCUCAAUUGGCUGUAACAUUCAAAGAGAUGACAAUUAUCAUGUAAGCUGGCAGAAGCAGGUGCCAGGCAGUCCUCCACAGUUUAUCUUACGUUUCUACCACUCUGGUAGUGCCCCUGAUUAUUAUGGCAAUGGCUUCUCUUCAAGUCGGUUCACAUCAAAAGCCCAAAAUAAAAUUGAUUAUCAGCUAAUAAUCAGUAAUGUGGAGGCAUCAGACAGUGCUGUGUAUUACUGCUGCACUUGGGACACUUCUGCUAAUGCUUGGGUAUCACAAUGACAAACAGGAGAACAAAAACUUUCACUGCUCUGUUUUUUUCACUUCACUGCUGGACUGUGACUUCACUGUGGUGAAAAAGCUGCUGGCAGUCAUAAAUGAAUGCCAACCCUGUGUUUGUCUUGGUAACACUUAUUGGUUAAACUCUGAAACUUAUCGAUAAAUAAAUAAAAUACUGUAUCAUGAAUCUAAAGUUGGAAUUCUGUUCAAAGCAUAUUUUCCAAUUUAAAUCUUGCUUUUCACCAGCAUGUUUUCAUCACAGUCUUCAUAUAUAACUUUACUACCCAGUUGUUCACAUUGGCCCUUUGUUCAUUUUCCUGUGAACCUCUGCCAACACAGUUUUAUAUUUACUUCUCCAUCUCAGUAAAGCAGAUAUUAUUGCUUAUUCAUGUAAGUCAUUAACAUUGCCAUGUCAUGGUCAUUUGUUCUGCUUGGUUCUUUCCAUGCAAUUGUAAGGGAGUGCCCAUCUGGAAAGAAGUUUCUCUGGGAUGACACCAGCAAGAUGGCACAAGGAUGGACUAGAACCCACCAAAGAUCAUCAAGCAUGACAGAGAGCCAUAUUGGCUGUGGGGGCCUCUCAGUGUGUGUGUGUGUUUGUUAGUGUGUUUGUUAGCUGGCAAGUUCCACCUUGCCAGCUACUCUCCUCUAUAGUCCUUCGUAUGUUAAGUUUUUUAGGCUUGUCUAGAUAUUUGCCCCUUUUUUGACUUUUGGUUAGCCUCUUGGUCUUAUUUUGUGACUAACAUUAGGAUUUGUGAUAACAUCAGGUUUAGAUUCUCAUCUUGAAUUUAUUAUUGUAUUUGGAGUUUCUCUUUGGUAGUAAUGAGUUUAGCUAUUAAACUAAGCAGCCUUGUUUCAUUGU